UGGGGAAUAUUGCGCAAUGGGGGCAACCCUGACGCAGCAACGCCGCGUGCAGGAAGAAGGUCUUCGGAUUGUAAACUGUUGUCGCAAGGGAAGAAGACAGUGACGGUACCUUGUGAGAAAGUCACGGCUAACUACGUGCCAGCAGCCGCGGUAAUACGUAGGUGACAAGCGUUGUCCGGAUUUACUGGGUGUAAAGGGCGCGUAGACGGACUAUUAAGUCAGUCGUGAAAUACCGGGGCUCAACCCCGGGGCUGCGAUUGAAACUAAUAGCCUUGAGUAUCGGAGAGGAAAGCGGAAUUCCUAGUGUAGCGGUGAAAUGCGUAGAUAUUAGGAGGAACACCAGUGGCGAAGGCGGCUUUCUGGACGACAACUGACGUUGAGGCGCGAAAGUGUGGGGAGCAAACAGG
rnacentral:rRNA from 1 species